UAAUCCUUCAUAUAUUAACUAAAAUCAAGAGCAAUAUGCCAAUAUACCAUCAACUAGCACAAAAGCGUACAUUACUCAGGGCACAAAUAGCAAUACUACACUGUAACAAACCACCAAUGCUGCAUGGAUGACAUAAUCCGAGAUCCCUAAAUGAGAUUAUUCAUUGGAGUAAACAUGUCCUAGGAAUAUUGGCUAGCUAGCAAACACAGCAUAUAUGAUGUUCAGUAAUGGUCGUUACAUGCUGGGUCUGUUUAAUGUUCUGCUGUGACCGGAUAGUCUGAAAAUUCUCUCAGAUUCCCCUACGAACGAGAUACAGUUAAGUUGAUCGCGAAACACCAUCAAACCAAGACUCCUGCAGAUUUUCCCCAAAAUGAGAGCUCAAUAAGCUACCACCAUCAGCUUCCUAAUUGAUUACGGAGCAGAAUCGGCUAGUUUUGAGAAAUCUGAAAACAAAAUAAGAAACAUUAGACACAUUUGAAUGAACAUGUCAAGAAGAUGAGUGAUAUGGAUAAACAGCAAGACGAAAUUCAGUAAACCGAAAUGCUACUACAGUUAGUCCAUCAAUGUGUAUUUCUAAAAGUGAAAUAAGUUAGUGAAAUAUCAACUGGAUAGCACAUUUAUUUUCAAUCCAAGGUUUGGUUGUGGAAAAUUACACCACGAUCAAUUUUAAGAAAGAUCAAGCUUCAGUUUCAGGCUUUAAUCAGUUAGUAUUUCAGAAAAAGGAAAAACAAUGGCGGUCAUCAUGUCAUCAUUUGUUUUUAUCAACUUUCAGAAAUGAAAGAUGGGAGCGAUGCUCCUUUAAGUCAAAAAAAAUGGUGGGCAUCAUCAUGACAAGGCUAGAUAUCCUUGAGAUUCUAAUACAGUGAUACCCUUCAGAUUCUAAUACAGUGGUCAGCAGACAAAGAAUGCUAGGCAUCGUUUGUGCCUGCUUUUUCGAUAAAGGGUGCUUUUGUUAUCUCGAAAUGUAGCAUCAAGCGGAUACAAAACAUUAUGAGUAACACCCAGCUUCUGCACAACUAGGAUGCACACAGCCCAACAUGAAAAGUCUGACAAAAUGAAUGAAAAAAACGACAAAUCGGCGACAGUAGAGUCCUAUAGACCGACACUAUGCCUAUGUCGCAAGGGAUGGUGGACCGAUCCGGAGAUUAUGCUGCCACCCAUGUUGAGUAAAAACCACCGUAGCCACCUGCUCCAACCGCGUACACACCGCCUUGAACAGCGGUUGGUACUCCACAUGUUGUAGCGUAGACCACGUACGAAGCGAGUGCGUACAACGGAAAAUAACCUGCAAAGGAGAAGCAUUUUUAUCAUUGAAAACCAAAUCAUUUCUACAUAGCCAAAGCGACCAUAGUAAGGCGUAUGCUCCCACCCGUAUUAGCGUUUUGAAUCUAUUUGGAAUACCGUCCAACCAGUGACCAAAAAUAUUGGCGACACUUGUGGGUGGAUACAAAUUUGACGCUAUUUGGAUGAUUGACCAUGUAGUACAUGCAAACUUGCAUUGGAAAAAGAGGUGUUUGAUUGUCUCUUCAUGAGUACAAAAACAACACUUCUUACUCCCUGGCCAGUUGCGUCGUGCGAGGUUGUCUUUGGUUAGAACAACUCCCCUACGAAGAUACCACAUGAAGAUUUUAACUUUUAGUGGAAUCUUCGACUUCCAAAUUUUCUUAUUGUUACUCACCGGUACCUCAGAAUGCAUGAGUGCACGGUACAUAGAGUCUACUGUGAAUGACCCUGAUGUAGUAAGGUUCCAGUGAAACACAUCCCGGCCUUGUCUAAUAUUAAUCGAAUCCAGACGGGAUAAAAGAUUGUGCCAUGACAUAAGUCGGGGCCCAAUCAAAUCCCGCCUAAACGAAAUAUUGGGUGGGGAUGAACUGAGCACUUGCGCAAUAGUAUUAUUCUUUUCGCAAGCAAUGUUGUACAGGGCUGGAUAUUGUUCUCGAAGACUGGCAUUGCCUAGCCAGAUGUCUUCCCAGAAAGGAACCUCCGACCCAUCCCUUAUCGCGAAAGACCCAAAGUGAAAGAGAUGUUUCUUUGCCGCCAUUAGGCCAGCCCAAAAGUGCGAGUCGCCAGGUGUCCAAUAUGCCUGAGACACUGCCUUUUGGCCUAGAUACUUGUUGCGCAGCAUGGUUUGCCAAACAUCAUCCUCAGUAAGAAGUUUGAACAAUCAUUUACUAAGUAGGGCCUCAUUCUUGAUUUGCAAGUCAUGAAUUCCAAGGCCACCUUGGUCUUUCGGCCUACAAACCACACUUCAUUUGGCCAGUCUAUAUUUUUUCUUUUCACCAUCUCCUUGCUAAAAGAAUCUGGAUCUAAAAUAGUCCAGUCUUUGCAGGACCCCUUUUGGUAGUUGGAAGAAAGAAAGCAUAUAGAGAACCAUAUUUGUGAGGACAGAGUUAAUCAAAACCAGUCGUCCUCCAACUGAGAGCAAUUUGCCUUUCCAACUGCUCAAUCGUUUCUCUAACCGCUCAUCUACAUGCUUCCACUCCGCAAUGGUGAGACGCCGAUAAUGAAUCGGUAUUCCCAAAUAUUUAAUCGGGAAUUGGCCAUGUGCACAACCAAACAGGUCAGCAUAUUCGGCCUCCGCCUCAGUGGCUUCUCCAAAGCAGAAAAGUUCACUAUUAUGAAAGUUUAUUUUAAGACCCGACAUUUGCUCAAACGCUGACAACAAGAGUUUAAGGUUUCGAGCCUUGUCCAGGUCAUGUUCCAUAAAGAGAAUCGUGUCAUCGGCAUAUUGCAGAAUAGAGAGACCACCAUCCACAAGGUGUGGCACUACUCCUGCAAUCUGGUCGUCCUGCUUGGCGCGCUCAAUCAGAAUAGCCAACAUGUCAGCGACAAUGUUAAAUAACAUUCGAGACAUGGAGUCACCCUGUCGUAAUCCUUUUUUGUUUGAAAGUAAUGGCCUACAUCAUCAUUGACUUUGAUGGCCACACUACCUCCAGUUACAAAAUUAUGGAUCCACUCGCACCAUUUAUCGGAGAAACCUUUCAUCCUUAGGGCCUGUUGGAGGAAAGACCAUUUGACCUUGUAAUAGGCUUUUUCAAAGUCGAUCUUGAAUACUACUCCACUCAUGUUUUUUCGGUGCAUCUCAUGGACGGUCUCAUGUAGGAUUACUACGUGAAAGAACAUGCGGUGCCCCCAUGUUUGGUUUUGGUAAUUGAUGACAAUCUCUAUGGACUAAUGGUUGCCUUGAGUUAUAUUUGAAGGAUUUGUCCAUAGGCAUUUCUUGAAGUCCAUGUGUUGGUUUCAAGGAGUUUAUGUGGUGACCAAGGUGUUAUUAAGGAAUUAUCCAAAGAUUGGUCAUGUGAGAGUUGAGCUUAUUGCAAGCAUGUCGUGGAGAAGAAGAUUGUGUGGUCAUUCAUGUAUAUCUUCAAGACAUCAUCCAAAUGAAGAGAGUUGAAAAGAUUCAAGGUUGAUCAAGACUAAGUGAAGAGUGAAUCAACUUGAUCAACUCACAAAGCGUAGAAGAUGUACCGAGAGGGAUCAAGCGAUCCCAUGGUGUGGUAAGCAUUGUCAAUUACGCUUUGUGUACUAACCCAUGAUCUUCGUGAGAGUUCUUUGUGGGGUUAGGUUGCGGUGUGCAAGUUCAAGUGAAGCAUCAUGAAGAGAUCAAAUGCUUGAAGCUUGCCGUCCAUUGUGAUGACAAUGGACUUGUGAAGAUGUUGCGGUGUGCAAGCUCAAGUGAAGCAUCAUGAAGAGAUCAAAUGCUUGAAGCUUGUCGUCCAUUGUGGUGACAAUGGACUUGUGAAGAUGUGCGGAAGGGUGGCUCACCCAUAGUGGAGUAUGGGGGAGCAAUCAACUAGUCUUCAUCGAGCCAACGCAAUCAAGAAAGGUGGUCCAUCUUUAGGGAGUCAAGAUCGUCAUCAUCUAGCUCAAGUGGACCAUGUGCAAGGCAAAGGUUUGCUCUUGAUAGGUUUUCUAUUUUACCGGUCUCGUGAUGGUAGUUGGGAGACCGGGUUAUAGGAUCGAUUGUCGUACUAUCAAGGGGGGCUCUCGAUGAGUAGCUUGAUCGUAUCGUUCAUAGAGAGCUCAAACCAUUGCAUCCUUGCAUCUUCUUUAUUGGUUCUUGUUUGGUUCUUCUCUUUGUGGGUUUUGGAGCUUAUGGUCAUCUUGAUGACAAGCUCGAGUUCAUCGAAAACGGAGUUCACUCGCAUCUUCUAUGAUGUUUUCGAUGUUGGAGGUUAUGUCGGUUCUUCUCGGUUGGAGGUUUCACUCCUCUAUUUGUUGGCAUACCUCCCCUGCCUCUUCUCGGUUGGAGGUUUCACUCCUCUGUUUUGAUGCUACUCGUCUUCCUCUAUCCAACAAGCUUGAGUUUGCUCAAUUCGGAGCUCAUAUGCAGAAGUUAUGGCAGUUUUGGUUUCCUAGCGGUAGGACCGCGUGCCGGAGCGGUAGUACCGCUUGGGUGCUACAAGCGGUAGUACCGCUCAGGAGCGAUAGUACCGCCCAGAGCAGUAGUAUCGCUGAUAGCCUCAACUGUGUGCUCCCUCUGGUCCCAGCGGUAGUACCGCGGGACGGAGCGGUAGUACCGCUUGGGUGCUACAAGCGGUAGUACCGCUCUAGGAGCGGUAGUACCGCUCCAGAGCAGUAGUACCGCUCCAGAGCAGUAGUACCGCUAGUAGCCCCCAGCCGUAGUACCGCGGUGGUCUCGUGCUAGUACCACCUCGAUUCGAGGGGUCUUUUUCGUGUCGGGUUUUACGGUACUAGCCGCGGCAGUGGGGGCCGUAGUACCGCUCGUAUGCGGUAGUACCGCCCUGCCACCGCGGUAGUACCGCUCUGGGCUCAGCGGCAGUACCGCGAGGGGGAGCGGUAGUACCACUUAUAGGGGCAAGCGGUAGUACCGCUGGCCAAGCGGUAGUACCACUCUUUGCGGGGCUGAAGUGGGGGUAACGGUUGGAUUGUUCCCCCCACUAUAUAAGGAGGUCUUCUUCCCCAUUGAACCUUAUCUCUUGAGCUCGUGUUCUUCCCCCAUUGUUGACCUUCUUCGAGCUUGCUAACUCUCAAUCCCUCCAUGGAUUCUUGCUAGUUUUUGAGGAAAAAGAGAGAGGAGAUCUAGAUCCACAUUUCCACCAAUCACUUUCUCCUCUAUGUGAGGGGAACCCCUUGGAUCUAGAUCUUGGAGUUCUUGGUGUUCUCCUUCUUGUUCUUCCUCUCUUUUUCCUCCCUAGAAUUAGUUGCUUCGGUGGGAUUUGAGAGAGAAGGACUUGGGCACUCCGUGUGCCCUUGCCAUUGCAUUUGGUGCAUCGGUUUGAGUUCUCCACGGUGAUACGUGGAAGUUACAAGUUGAGAAGCUUAUUACUCUUGGGUGCUUGGUGCCCUUGAGCUUGUUCCUCUUGGGUGCUUGGGCGCCCUAGACGGUUGGUGGUGUUCGGAGCUCAAUCAUUGUGGUGUAAAGCUCCGGGCAAUCGUCGGGGUCUCCAAUUAGGUUGUGGAGAUCGCCCCGAGCAAUUUGACGGGUUCCGGUGACCGCCUCCAAGGGUUGCCAAAGUGUACGGGUUCGGUGACCGCCCCCAAGGGUUGCCAUUUGUACGGGUUCGGUGACCGCCCUCAAGGGUCCCUUAGUGGAAUCACGACAUCUUGCAUUGUGCGAGGGCGUGAGGAGAUUACGGUGGCCCUAGUGGCUUCUUGGGGAGCAUUGUGCCUCCACACCGCUCCAAACGGAGAUUAGCAUCCGCAAGGGUGUGAACUUCGGGAUACAUCGUCGUCUCCGCGUGUCUCGGUUAUCUCUUACCUGAACCCUUUACUUAUGCACUUUACUUUGUGAUAGCCAUAUUGUUUCUUGUCAUAUAUCUUGCUAUCACUUAGUUGUUUAUCUUGCUUAGCAUAAGUUGUUGGUGCACAUAGGUGAGCCUAGUUGUUGUAGGUUUUGUGCUUGUCAAAUUAACCGCUAGGUUUAUUCCGCAUUUGUUCAAGCCUAAACCGUAAUUAUUUUAAAGCGCCUAUUCACCCCCCCCUCUAGGCGACAUCCACGAUCUUUCACUACGCCAUCAAGUAUAUUUCUUCCUUGCAUGAAAGCCGUUUGAGAUGGACGGACAACAUGGUCAGCUACCAAGUUUAACCUAUUCGUAGCCACUUUGGUGAAAAUUUUGAAGCUGACAUUAAGGAGGCAUAUGAGUCUGAACCGUUGGAUCCGUUCAGCCUCCUUAAUCUUCGGCAACAAGACAAUCUCACCAAAAUUAAGUCUGAAUAGGUCAAGGUUGUCGGCAUGAAGGCAAUUAAAGAACUCCAUUAGGUCAGACUUGAUUAUAUCCCAGAAAUUCUGAUAGAAUUCUGCGGGAAAACCAUCUGGACCUGGAGCUUUGUUAUGUUCCAUUUGGACACCGCAGCUCUCACCUCCUCUUCAGAGAAUGGUGAUGUAAGGAUAUCGUUUUCUUCAGCCGUGACUUGUGGGAUAUCAUCUGUUCGGGUCUCAUCAAGGGUGAAGUUCCCUUCGGCGGUCGUCCCGAACAGAGAUUUGUAGUAGUUAGUGAUAUACUUUUUGAGUUCCUCCUGACCUUCGAUCCGCCCCUCAUCUUGUUGGAGACUGUAAAUACAUUUCUUCCUAUGCCGCCCAUUGGCGACCAAUUGGAAGUAUCUUGUAUUACUAUCACCCAUCAGAAUGAAAUCAGCUUUGGAUCUUUGGUAGUAUUUGAUCUCUUCUUGUUGCAAAAGACGUGCAACCUUCUCAUUAGAUUUAUUUUUCAAUUCAAUCUCUUGUUGAGAUAAGGUGCGCAUCUCAGCAAUUUUGUCGAGGUCAUCAAUGAUGAUACAGAGUCAUUGUUUUUCUUUUUUAUAUAUCCCGUUGGUAUGUAUCGCCCAUCCAGUGAGAUGUUGCCUCAUGGCCCUCAUUUUAAAGUUCCAUCUGUGAAUAGGUGUACGACCAACAACAGGCCUCUCCCAAACAUUCUUGAUUAUGUCUACAAAUCCUUCCCGAUGCAUCCAUCCCAAUUCAAAUUUGAAAGGACGACGUGCAGCUAGGUUCGUAGAUUUAGAAUCUAGAAUGAUGGGUGCAUGAUCCAAUAACGCCUCGAUACGCUCUAGGGCUCGUACGGUUACCAGAGGAAAUCUUAGUUCCCAUUCGGUAUCCAUGAGUACUCAUCAAGCUUCUCAUAUAUCGGCACAGAUCGGUUAUUAGCCCAUGUGAACUGACGCCCCGACAUACUCGCCUCCCGAAGAUCCAAACUGUCUAUCACAGCGUUGAAUAGGAAGGGCCAAUGAGUGUCGAAACGGUCAUUAUUUUUCUCUUCCUGGUAUCUAAGGAUAUUGAAGUCCCCUCCAAUAAGCAUUGGGUACGGGUUAUCCUUCGCCAGGUUUACCAAUUCCUGAAGGAAAGCCGGUUUAUGCUCAUCUUGGGCAGCCCCAUAGACUGUGACUAGAGUCCAUGUAAAAUUGUCAGCUCUGUUUCUUAGGUGAUAUUUUAUAUGAAAUUCACCGAUUGACAAGGCCAACAAGUCCAUGACUAUUGUCAGAAUACCAAGAAGAAUUCCUCCAGACCUUCCACGAGCUGGUAGACUAUGCCAUGCAUAGUCGAAACCACCUGAUAGGUGAUCGAGGACAUGCGGGCGAAAAUCACACUUACCAGCCUCGGAAAUUGCCACAAAAUCCAAUCCAUGUUCCCUUACACAAUCACCGACGUGUUUAUGUUUAGCCAAGUCCGAGAGACCUCUGCUAUUCCAAAACAUGCCUUUCAUGGGGAAACUCGGAUUGGUGUGGAACUCUUCGCCUUCUUGGGCGGUUUUUGUUUCUUUUUAGAGGAGUGUGAUUUAGAUUUUCGCGAGGACGCUAUGAAGUCACAAAACAUGGACCCAGGUCUUGCGUCAUCCAAUCCAACCUCGGUAACCUCACCAACCAAGUGGGAUAUAAGCGGACCAUCAUAUUUGGCAUCUGCUUCAUCCUCCUCCUCGGUUUCGGGGUUAGGUAUGGAGGCAUUACACUUCGGAGAAACCUUUAAUCGGUCAAUCUCCAUAUGUUUAAGCACCCCAACCGAUAAAUUGAUUUCAUUAUCAUUCUUUCCAAUAGAGCAUCCAACAUUCUUUAAGCUAGAAGAAAUACGUGAGUCUGAAAAGGAAAGAAAAUAUUUUGUGCAUAAGUUACCUGGAACGGUGUCCAAAUUACGUGCAGCCCGACGUCGCAUUGCCUUGUCCAUAGCAUGUUCAUCGGUCGGAGAAGAACCGUCAACGGAGACGGGGUGACGGUUACUACGCCGAAGGGGAGAGCUUCCCUCAGACAUAAGAGCCACUGGUGUCAUUGGGCGAUCCGUCGACAAUGAUGAAGCAGUAGCGAACAUGGUAGGUGUUGAAGACGAAGUCGGUGCAGAGAGACGAACACAUGGAGCCAUCUGUGUAGCAUCGUGAGACGGCUUGGAAGACUGCAGACCAGCCUGCGUGGGUGGGCUGACCACAGCAACAGCCGGCUGCUGAACCGGCACGUCCAUUCGCUGGCGGAGAUCUGUAGCCUCAUGCAUAUCAGCUGGACAUGUAGAUGAGCCGACGGUCUCCGCUAGGCCAGCAGCUGGUGGACCAAACUCCCCAUUAAUCUGAUGCAUGGCAGUGACUCGGUUGGGAAGGUCCAGGCCUGCGUGUGCAUUGCCAUGGCCAGCAAUGCUUGCGUCCAAUUUAUCUGCAUGCAUCGCAUCAAUGGAUGGAAUGGUACUUGUACGUGACUCUUCAAUGGUGCUCAUGGGUGUGUGCGAGCAAACUCUCUGUGCAUCCAAAAAACGAACAUCUGUGUUCAUUGGGACAGUCCCACUCCCAUCAGAAUGAGAUUCAGAUGAAGCUGCACCGAAGACUCCAGAAUUUUUUUGCCUUUUUAUUCGCAUCACAAUCAGGCAAGUCAUCCUCGCGGUUAGCCCCAUGGUCGGGACCAUCAUCAUGGUGUACCCAAAUACGAGGGAUAAAAUCAUCAUCGGGCUUGAAAUCAUUGUCCUCGAGAACAAACCGGAAGUCAUAACCAUUUAAUUUGAUAUACACCCCAGCCGACACUGAGGCACUCCCUGCAUUAUCCUCUUUCUUGAAUAUAUUUAGAUUCAGGACAGCCACCUGAAUACGCUGAAUACGCACGAUGCCACGACGUCGUAAGCAAAUCAAGUCAACAUCUUGUGUUGCACCGAUGACGGAUCCCACUGCCCACAAACCAAGAAAGUGGCAAAGUGUCGGUGGAACUCCAGUGACAUGUACCCAAACUGGCUUCAGCGGAUUAUAUGCAGGCUUGACAUCAUUUUCUGAUUUCCAUUCACUAAUAGCAAUCAUGACAUUGUGAGACUUGACUUUGAACUCGAAAGCAGACACUCGACGCAAAACCUCCAUAGAUGGAAAGGCAACCAAGAAGGCAUCAUCACCAUGAGGAACGGCCUCCCACUUCCAUGAAGUUUGAACCGAGGCGAUUUUAGCAAUCUCAGCCUCCACAAUAGCUGCCGUCACCGAACCUCCCGAUAUCAUAACCAGACCAGUUGGUGAACAUGAUGGUGCAAGGUGCUCCUUAAAAACCGAGUCGGGCAGAUGCACGAACAUGGCCUCAUUUAGACCAACACCACCUAAGGCUGCCAUAGGUCUCGGCUGCUUCAGCACAGAACAACGAUGAAGAGGAUGCUUAUGAUUAUUGCAAAUGUAACAGAAGUGAGUCACAUUGCAAUCCUUAGAAAGAUGAUCAUCUGUCCUACACUUGUAGCACCAAAGACUAGUCUUCUUCCCUCCAAUCUGCGUGUCAGCCGAAACAGCGGAAAGCCCGGUCGGCACGGGCCCAGGCAACACCGGAGCAGCAGGAGUGGCCUGAGGAACCGGAACAAAGAGCGGCGGUCCCGAGGAAGUCCACGCAGGAACCCGGGCACCCUUCCGCUUCUUUUUCUUGUUGUUGUUGCUGGGACGGCUAGACGUGGGAGCACCAGCCGGCGCCGUGGGAACCCCGAAAACCAUAGGUUGUUGGAGAGGAGCAACAGCCGGCGCUGCCUGGCCGGCCAGUGGGAUCCUUGGCGGUCCGGCCGUGGGGCCAAACCCGGAGAAGCGGGACUGGGAUGGCACGGCAGGGCCGUCCUCAACUGAAGAUGUCGCGGUUCCCUGCGUUGCCAGCGAUCGUUUGUGCCUGCUAGUUCAGAAACACUAAUACACCUGAAUGAAGGGAUGGAAUAUCCAUGCUGACACACCAACCCAUAAAUUUUGGCAGCCUGGCAAG
rnacentral:lncRNA from 1 species